rnacentral:rRNA from 1 species
GGAAGUAAAAGUCGUAACAAGGUUUCCGUAGGCGAACCUGCGGAAGGAUCAUUAACGAAGGCGAGAGUUGUACAUAUUUUGUAUAAUUCUUGUUUGAUCAACCGCAAUCCAAGUGUAAUUUUUAUUUUGGGGAAACCCAUUAUUAUUACAGUAUACAGUAGUAUAUUAAUUAAACAAAACUUUCAACAACGGAUCUCUUGGCUCUUGCAUCGAUGAAGAACGCAGCGAAUUGCGACAAGUAGUGUGAAUUGCAGAAUUCCGUGAAUCAUCGAAUCUUUGAACGCAUAUUGCACUUUUUGGUAUUCAGAAAAGUAUGCCUGUUUGAGGGUCAUUGAAUAAAAUCGAGCGCAAUGAUUAAUUGUAAUCGGAUGGCUGAGUAUUUCGCGAUAUACUUUUAUAUCAUGAUUGCUCGAAAUUGAAGCAUGGUCUCGGCCUUUUAUAGAGACGCGUUUACGGUGGCUCGCCUCCAAUAUCUCGCAACUUUUAGGUCGAAUUCCGUGGUAGUUUGGGUCGUUUCUCUUUGGGAAAAGGCACUUACAGUUUAUCUUAUCGUGACCUCAAAUCAAGCAAGAAUACCCGCUGAACUUAAGCAUAUCAAUAAGCGGAGGA